UAAGCGGAAUUUGUGGCUGGAACACUUGGAGCAAUGUAAUUUAAGCACCGGUGUAGGCAAACUAUGGUCUACUGCUAAGUCACUCUUGCACCCCGGUAGACGGGAUGACAGGACCUCAGUCACUUUUGGCGAAAUAAACGUGACUGAUCCGAAGAGAUGCGCCAGGUUGUUCAACCGUCAAUUUAUGUUGCAUCCCGAGAGACAGGGCAAGGCAAAUCAUCUAAGGCGUUUUGCCCCGACGGAAUCUCUACAUUGAUGUUCAAGGAUCUGGAGAGUACAACAACAGCUUUGCAUACCAUCACCACACACAUUUGCCGUGGCUUCAAUCAGCCCAGGCCAUGUGAUAGUCCUCGUGUCACUGGACCUAUCAAAGGCAUUCGACACGGUCAGCCAUGCCAAAUUAUUUGAUCACAUCGCCAACACGUCCCUCCAGCCAGGCCUGAAACGAUGGGUCGCACAUUAUCUGUGUGGUCGCCAGUCAUUUGUGGAAUUUAGGGAUAAGAAGUCGAAGCACCGUAGAGUGAAACAGGGAGUUCCCCAAGGUGGAGUGAUAUCUCCGUCACUGUUUAACCUCUACCUAUACUCCAUUCCACCCCCUCCAGAGGGCAUAGAGAUCGUAUAAUAUGCGGACGAUCGUACGAUCAUGGCAUCAGGCCCCCCAACCAUUGAUGACAUCUGCGAUAGGCUGAACGUCUACCUCAACGAACUUGCCUCAUAUUUCGCUGCAAGAAAUCUGAAGAUAUCCGCCACCAGAUCUUCAGCCACAUUGUUCACUACAAAUAAGCGUAAGGUGAGCUGACUGUGAAGAAGAAAUGAUUCCGACCAUCAAGUGUCUCAAAAUACUUGGCGUCACAUUUGACAGCUCUUACACAUUCUCCCCAGAUGACAGCAAUCUGCGAUAAAGUCAAAAGUAGAAACAAGGUCCUCAAGUCACUUGCUGGCAGCAUUUGAGGUGCAAAUAAAGAAACCUUGUUGACCACGUACAAAGCAAUUAGCCGUUCUGUGGUAAGUUUUGCAGCGCCAGUGUGGUCUCGUCAACUUUGUGACACGCAGUGGAAUAAUAUUCAGAUCUAUCAGUAUGCCGCCUCCGAACGGGCUGUCUUCUCAGUUCUCAAGUGGACCACCUCCAUCAGGCGACUUUGUCCUAUCCUACCAGUACGAAGACAUAACUACAUGCUGUCUGUCCAUCCAAAUCAUCAUCUUGUGGAUAGAUAUCCACCGCCCAGAAGCCUUCAGGUAGGUCUAUAUGAUCUAGAGCGUGAGGUUCAGCGAUACAAGAGAAAACCUCUAGAUCAAGCGACAUAUCAUGCGGGUCUAAACAACAUUCAUGCAGACAUGGUAGCAGAUGCGGUAAUUGGCUACCGGGUGAAUGUAGUCCUUGGAGAACGACCGCCACCCAUUGCACUCGAAGAAUUCAACCUCCCCCGGCAAAGCAGAGUAGUUCUGGCUCAAUUACGUUCCGGCAGAUGCAGCCGCCUCAAUUCCUACAGAGCUAGGAUUGAUGCGACGUGCAAGAUAUAUGUCCCGAUUGUAACCAGGGACCGCACGAUACAUGUCACCUGUUUAACUGCCCGGCCUGAUCCAGAUCCCUGUGGACGCACCCCAUCUUAGUCGCAGAGUUCCUGGGCCUUGACACUCAACAGAUGUGGGGAAGUUCAGAUGUCAACGAAAGGGGGGAUAAACCGAUCUUUAUUAGCAGGAACAGGCAGAAGGUACUAGAUAUUACCUUUGUAUCGGAUGAAGAAUUUGCGACUGGAAAGUGUUGGAUGACCACAGCUUCUCUGAUCAUCGUUAUAUUAGUUUCAGCCUUGGAAAAAAUACUGCAGAAGUGGUCCUUCGGCUAAACAGAGGAGCGUUUUAGGAUGAAUUUCGGCACAAAUUCUGCAUGUCUAUCCCUUCUAGACCAGAAAAGGAAGUGGCAACAGCGGAGGAUACAAUGGAUCACGAAGGCCCUGAAUGACUCGCUCGUGUCAGCAUGUCCAAGUGUCCACCAGUUCUUGGUGAACCCAAGAACUGGUUGGUCUAAGGAAGGACUGCAGAAAACUCUUCGACAGAGCGAAAACCACAAGAGCAUCACACGAUUGGGACAUCUAAAAGGCUGAGAUAAGAAAAUAUAAGGGCGAGCUGAGAAAGGCUCAGAACAAAUCCAGGGUAAAGUUCUGCAGCUCUGUGGUGGAUACAUCUGAGGCCUCUAGGCUAAGGAAGAUUCUGUUCUCGAGACCUUUUAGGGUGAGGUAUAUGCAUAUAGUAAAGGGUAUAGUCAGGCUAAGGAAGAUUCUGUUCUCGACACCUUUUAGGGUGAGGUAUAUGCAUAUAGUAAAGAGUAUAGUCAGAAAAUGUAUGGACAAUGUCUAGUGAGGAAACACUAGAACUCUUAGUUGAUACACAUUUCCCGAGAAAUUCUCCAAUGGACAACGUGACCCCAGAAGAAGUUGUCACUGGCAUGCAUUCGUCGGAGGUUAUUAGGGAAAUUGUGUCUAAGCCGAAAAUCCUUUGGGCAAUAAGAAGUUUCGAUGUAAAACCGACGACAAUCUUGGUGGAGUUGGAUUUCUAGGCAUUAACUCUACCGCAAGAAAGUUUAUUUAUAACUUACUUACUAAAAAAUGUAUUACGGCAGGCUUAGGAUCUGUGGAUCUAAAAACAUGGGUAAGCAGAGGAACACCUUAAGGAGGUAUACUGUCUCCUCUACUUUGGAAUAUAGCCGUUAACAAUAUAUUAUUGUCUCUGGAACAAAAAGCGUAUGCUGAUGACGUAGCAAUUGCGGUUAGGGGAAAGUUUCCCAGCACUCUAAGAGAUAUAUUUCAGGAUGCUCUACGUGCAAUAGCGAAGUGGGUUACCGAAAGUGGUCUAGGUGUAAAUCCAUGCAAAACCGAAGUAGUUCUUUUCAUCCGAAGAUACAAGUUGUCUGCAGUGGCACCUGUCUCCUUGGGAGGAGAGAAUAUUCCAUUUACAGAGAGCGCAAAAUACAUGGGUGUUUUGUUGGACAGGAAAUUGAACAUUUUGGUCAUAUCGAAACGGUUUCCUUACCACUGCCGUAUGUAUCAAUCGGAGAUCCUUUUAAUUCAGCAAGUGGUGGAAUGGUGAAGAUACAAUGUCUUAACGACGAUUGGCAUAAAUAUCUUUUCAGGCAGCCAUUAAACCCCUGGAGAUCGUAUUUCUGAACACAAAAACCGCCCUCGACUGUCGCAGAUCUCUCAACGAGAUGGCUGAACUGUUCAAAAUUCACCUGUUCUGGGUGCCGGGCCACAGCGAUAUCCCAUUGAAAUGUAAAACGGACGAGCUUGCGAGACUAGGAACUACCCUACACAUUCCAGGGAUACUAGAAUUUGUGGGUAUGCCUCUCGCGACAUGUAAGCUAAGUUUUAAGGAUCAGGCCCGAAGGAAACCGAAUGAUAGAUGGUCACAAAGAGCGGAAUGUGAGCAUUCCAAAACUAUGUGGCCUAAUCUAAACUUGAAGAGGUCUACCGUUUUGCUGUCACUGGCUAGAACAGUCUCAGUCACUAUCUACUUGGAAAACAUUCUGACAGGCUGAAGCUUACCAGUAACGACUUCUGCAGAAGCUGUGAGGACAUCGAAGAAGAAGAGACUAUAGAACACAUUCUGUGAGUGUGUCCCGCACUGGCAGUCAAAAGGAGUUCCAUUUUUUUUAUUUGUAAUUAAUCAAUCAAACUCCCUUAGUGGUAGUUCUAACUUCUUUGAGAAGUUCUCAUUUGUUUGAUUUAGCGGAUGUGAACAUUCGGAAGGAAGAUUGCACUAUACAAGACACUGAUACUAUCCGUACUGUUAUAUGGUUCUGAAGCAUGGGUACUUGUGAAAGCAGAUGAGGCAGUGCUUGGAGUAUUUGAGAGAAAGAUUCUUCGUAUAUUCUCUAUUAACGUAAACUAGUCCAUGUUUGAAUAUAUAGGUGAUAUAUGAACCACGAGCUGUAUGACGACGAUAGCAUAGUUACACGCAUCAAAAUACAACGGCCGCGUUGUCUAGGCAUGUUGUCAAAAUGGAUGAAGAAGCUCCAGCAAAGAAGUCUUUUGAAGGCAAACACGGUGGUACACGCAAACCGGGGGACCAAAAGCCCGAUGGAAAGAUCAAGUUGUGGGAGACACCUCGAAACUUGGUGUUAAAGAUUUUAGAAUGAGCGCAGAAGAUCGAUGCGGCUGGAACGCUAUUCUACGUUCGGCUAGUGGAGCAAAUAUUCUGUCAUACCCAAUUAAAGUAAAGUAAGAACAUUCGGAAUUUGUUGGAGUUUUUAACGCGACCUGGAUGGUUCAACGGUAGGAACUAGAAGGAAUCAUCCUUCUUCUGUUCCUGUGGUAUUACAAUUGACGAAAACGUCUAUGUGAGUCUGAUGGCAGUCUGCCACUUAAACCUAACCUAUUCCAUUAAGUAACAACUGCAAACUUCUCACAUGUCAAUGAGUACUAUCCGAUUCAAGUUUAUAGCUCAAGGAUAAGGGGCAUCCUUUUUAAAGCAGAGUCCAAAUAACGGUCCGCAGUAUGACACCUCUUUGGGGAGAAGUUUUUGGACAACUUACUGUCCAUAAAAACCUGGACGUUCUUGCGUCAACACUGUACCAUCUUAAGUUGUUGAUGAUGGUCGGAAAGUUUUUUUCUAUAUAUUACGAUAAUGUUCAGAGAAGUCGUCAAUGGCUUCCUUACACUCUAAGACUGUUCUUGACCCUACCGCCUUGGUUGCUGUAACCUUAAGGGCAGUUUACUAUCGACAAUGUGGCAUUAAAACCGAACCACCUGACCUAUUCCUGCUGAGGUGUGCAAGAGGGGGCAGAACUGUCUCUGGGUUCUCAAUAUAAGCGCCUAAUCUAGUUCUUUCUUCGAGCUUUGAUCCGUCCGCGUAGCAUGAAUUAUUAGAUUUCCAUCAAUGGAAGAAUGUGACGAUACAAAGUCUCCGGUACACGAACUCAAUUGUUGUUGUCGCUAUUUUUGUAUGUGGUGUUCGUCAAGCUCCAUAGGUGAGCAAGCUUGUUCUGGUCCAUGCGACCGAUAGCGGCGGCCAUUGGUUAUUUAAAGGCGCUAAUAACUCGACUUGUUAUAUUGAGAAUCACAAGCAGUCAGUAUUUAAGCUUGAGCCCAUACCGACCGGCCUCUCAUUAAGAAUCUUCACUUGACAAGAUAUAGUCGCCAAGAAAAUAGUCGACAUACAAACUUCUUUAAUUUUUGUCGUAUUUGGCGGAAAUUUGGUACGUACUGCACACUUGUGAUCUUUAAUAUUCAUGCUUAGAUAAUUCUAUUAAUACGCAUUCACAUUCACGCAUUAAUACGAUUACCAAUUGUAAUCCCAUGGCAGCUGGUUGUACGUACCGGAUUGACCCGAUGGACUUCCUUAUCGGCAAGGGCUGCCGCCUCAGUGUAUAACUCACUGCUACAACAACAACAACAACCAAUUGUUUAUGUAUACUGCGGCCAUUUUUUUAUUAAGGUACCACCCAGCGCUAACAGACACCGGUACUUAGGUGGGGAUACAAUGCCAGAUAUGAACCAACUUAGGGGCAUGGUAUGGAAACAAUUAAGGAUUUUAACGCAAAACAAGCCUAUUACUGGCGCAGGUGUGGCAUCGGGCGGAUUAAUAUCCGCACCCUAACCUAAUAGUUAUCGAUGUUUUUCGAAUAUUCAAUUGCGUUUAUGAAUUUUUCACAAAAAAAAAAUAACUGAACGGAAGAGCUGAUUAAUAUAUACUUUUACAAUAAAGUAACUUUUGGGGGGAACUUACUUUCAAACACAUUGAAAAUUUUUAAAUAUUCUUUCUUAUUGGCCUAUGAACUAAUCGAUGAAUUAGUAACGUUCAUUUUUGAAAACAGAUAUUUUUAUUCAACUAUUCCCUUAGAGUUUACAUAAACAAUAAACCGACCAGUUAAUAAAUUUCUAAUUUUUAUUUUAACAUAAAUCAAAAUUAUU